CGUGUAGGCGGCUUGGUCAGUCCGGCGUGAAACCUCGGGGCUCAACCCCGAGCCUGCGCUGGAUACUGCCUCGCUCGAGUCCGGGAGGGGAGAGCGGAAUUCCCAGUGUAGCGGUGAAAUGCGCAGAUAUUGGGAAGAACACCGGUGGCGAAAGCGGCUUCCUGGACCAGUACCGACGUUCAGGCACGAAAGCGUGGGGAGCAAACA
rnacentral:rRNA from 1 species